GAUACCUCCGCUCACUCCGGCCAAAAGAAAAAGAAAACCUAACUCAAUCUGGACUCUCUACCACCUCCGCAAUCCCUUUUCUCUUCUAAAUCUCCUUCCAUCCAGAAAAAUGAAGUCCGUCUUUACCAAUCGGCCAUACUCAAUCGCGAACAAAAAUCAUCCCUGGUGAUUCCCAGAGAAGGAGGAGAGAAAGAAGUUCAUCAAACACAUCUAGAUCCAAUGCAGUCCGAAAUCCUCAAGUAUUCAAAGUGGAAGAAGUGGGAGGGGAUAUAGUAGAGCAACACCCCUAUUUUGAUGUAUUGUGCAUUUGUUCAUCUUUUCAGAGUACAUGAACAACACGAAAUUGGGCAUAAUGGCAGUGAGUUCAACUGGACUCAAGAAGUCAUCACUCUUGUCAUUCUUAAAAGGUCAUACAAAGUUGCGUAAUUACUUGCUUGUACACACAAAUGGUGACCUCAAUCAGAUGAAAGCUGGGGUCUGUAUCAUUCUCUACCUCCCGUAUUGUGUUGUUUUCAUAGAUUUUAACGGUUAGCUGAGUAAGAUUAUUCAACUGAUUAUUGAUAUGGCUAACUGAUCUUCUAAGUAAACCCUGCUUCAAUAGAAUUUUACUUCUUUCUAUCCCAGAAUUGGGCUACUGAAAUACUCAUAAUCUGCAUACCUACAGUUGGAGACUGGAUAUACAUGACUAUUUAGUUCACUUAUUUUUAACGGAAAGAUAUAAAUUUAAGUCAAUUGGCACCUAUUACUAUCAUCUUCUGCUAUAUUUCUGUCCCAAAUGUAGUAUGUGAAUUCACUAGUAACUAGAUAUUGGAUAGAACUACGAUUUAUAAGUUCAUACCCCCCUUUCUGGCAAGAAGGGCGAGGAGCCAAUUCCUUUGUCAUGGAAACAGAAGUUCCUCUGUUUAAUCCACAGAGACCUAACUCUUGGGCUGUAGAGGAGCCAUUUUACAUGCUCACAGCAUUUACAGAACUGCAGAAACAUAUACCCUUAGGCUAUAGAGCAAAGACUCAUAAUAAUUUUUGCAGGAUGGUUUGCGCCUCAGCAGCUUGUGAAGUGCUUUGAGCCUUUUACUACUGUACUUGAUUUACACUUACAAGAGAUUCAUCACCUGCAUACAAAAAUGAUCCACUUUGUAUUUAUAGAUACAACAUCCACACCAAAGAACGUGGGAUUGACACGGGGAUUGGACUAGAUGUACGGAUGGAUGCUAACAAAGGAAAGCUGGUUGUUUUGUUUUCAGAAUUAAAUGGAGAGCCUCUAUGCGAGAAUGGCCCCCAAACUCGCAAACGAGUUUGUGGUAAUAGUUUGUCCUAUAGAAGCACUCAGAAGGAGUUCAUCUGGACACUACUCUACAAAUGUUAAAGAAGUUCUUAGAGGAAUUUAUAGGAUAAAAUCAAUGAGUUGUUACAAAGGGAGCUACACCACCCACUAAGGCAGAAAUAUGUGCUGAAGUUUGAAGAGAAAGCGAAGAUGCUGACGUACUAUAGCCACUGCUGAUUCUGAUGAUGAAGCACUUCAUGGUAUGAUACAAAACAUGCUGACAGAAUUCAAGCUACGCGCACAAAAUGAGAUGAUCAAAAAAUUACAAGAAAAUGAAAUAUUCACUCUAAGCAUGAUCCGUGAACAACAAAAUAUGAUGCGCAGAAGUGAUCCAAGCGACAUUAGCUCUGAUAGAACAACAGAAAACGUAAUGCAAGAGCAACAGUAAAAUUUUCACUUGUCAAAUGUUUUAAACUUAGCAUCAUUUUUUGUAUUGGAAGUGAUAAUCAGAUGUUUUUUAGUUUGGAUAUUGUUUUAAUAAAU